ACUCAAAUGAAUUGACGGGGGCCCGCACAAGCAGCGGAGCGUGUGGUUUAAUUCGAGGCUACACGAAGAACCUUACCUGGGUUUGACAUGCAGGUGGUAGAAACUUGAAAAAGUGACGACCUUCGGGAGCCUGCACAGGUGCUGCAUGGCUGUCGUCAGCUCGUGCCGUGAGGUGUUAGGUUAAGUCCUGUAACGAGCGCAACCCCCGGUAGUAGUUACACGUGGUCUACUACGACUGCCCGUGACAAGCGGGAGGAAGGUGGGGAUGACGUCAAGUCAGCAUGGCCUUUAUAUCCAGGGCUACACACACGCUACAAUGGUCGGUACAACGGGCAGCCAAGCCGCAAGGCGGAGCUAAUCCAGACAAAGCCGAUCUCAGUUCGGAUUGUGGGCUGCAACCCGCCCACAUGAAGUUGGAGUUGCUAGUAACCGCGCGUCAGCUAUAGUGCGGUGAAUACGUUCCCGGGCCUUGCACACACCGCCCGU
rnacentral:rRNA from 1 species